GGCAAGUCGUCCAGGUCCUGAGGCAGCAAAGCACCCUCCAACCGUCACACUACCAUCCCGCUUGACCGUUGGUAUGAGGUUCUUACUGUGGAAUGCAGUGUUUGGUUUUCGCCAGACAUAAUGGGACCCAUGUUGUCCAAAAAAAGUUUGACUUUUGAAUCAUCUGUCCAUAGAACAUUAUUCCAAGAGUCUUGAUGAUUAUCCAUGUACUUCCAGGUGCUUUUUGGGAAAACUUGAGCCAACUUGGACCCCUGCGUGUCGACAAACUCCACUGUUACUUUACUUCGACAAUGUUAAGACAGACUUGGCAGAACAAAACUCUGUCAUCUCAUGCUACUAAAGGCUGUCCAAGUUUUAAUCAGCCCGGUAUGUUUGUUCUGUCUCUGGUGGGUUCUAGGUGGUCUUUUUUCCUAGUCGUGCUGCACCUCUCAAAAACUUCUCCCAGGCGUUGUGAGAUCUUAUUAUCUGUGCAGCUGCAUCAUUACUAAAAAACAGGACAACCUGGAACCUUACAUGUGUGGUUGGGUGUGCUAGUGUAUGGUUAUAACCAGCUCCUGUCUCUGUGUGUGUCUGUCCACUAGGCACAGCCUUGGUGAUCCAGCGUGACCAGGUUCACCUGCAGGACAGUGUCAGUCAGGGCCGGUUCACCUUCCAGACCUCUAUGCACAGUGACGGAAGCAUCGUCUUCGCUUACAAGGAGUAUGAUUAGACCACUAUGCCUGACCGCAGUCUGACCACCAUUGACCACCUAACUCAUUAUGCCAGAUGUCCGCAGGAGGACCGUCUAUGAGUACCACAAAGUGAGCAUCCUUAAGUCCAAGAUCUCCAACUCCACUGCAGUUGAGGUGCUUCUUCUGCCCAUUCACCAGCUGUGGUCCUUGUGUCUCGUCUGAGAUCGGCUUUAACUGCAGCCGGUGUAGCGGACAGCGGAGGUGCUCCAGUGGCUUCGACAGACAUCGCCAGGACUGGGUUGACAGAGGCUGCCCUGAAAAGAAACUGAACAAUUCACUAUUCAAUUCAUUAGUUUUCUUCUGCUUCAAGGAAACUAAUUCAAAACUGGAAACUAAAUUCCCACCGUCUUGAUUUCACAGGGGGAAAAACAAAGCUGAGUUCAGAUGGUUCACACCAACACCAGCACCACACCACCUUACAUUGUUACUCUCACUCACACUACAACCACUCCAGUUGCUACGACAACCACAGUGAGACAACGGACCGCCACUUUCGUCGCCACGACGACUACCUCCACCACCACAACUACUACUACAACCAGACCCAGCACCACGGUAUCCACCGCCCUGCCCUUCACCAGUGCUCCUCCAGUGUGUUAGUAGCACUACAUACCUGGCACACUUUCUAACCAACGCAUUCUCCCCAAAGCGUGCACUAGUUAUAUUCCUUCUCAUGGAUUCACUGUAAAAGGACUGAAUUGUGUGAAAAUCCCUCUUGUGUGAAAAUGUGUCUAUGCUUGCCAAAGCCAAUCCAAAGCUUCUAAACCCAUGAUGUGAAGUAAAAGAGUGCGCACUCCAGGGAGACAGGUAUAGAAUAGGAGUUGGGCUGAGGUUUGUGUUUAGCUCUGGCUGCUCAGGGACGUAGUGAUGGCGAGGGUACGCCUCUAUAUUUGGCUCUGGUGUGAACAUUGACUGCAGCCCUCUGACUUGCCAUGAAUUGAUCACUAGGUGUCCAAACAAAUCCUUUACCCAUCUGUAUGUCCUCUUGUUCUUUCAGAUCACACAAAGAAGUGGUUGCCAAUCCUAUUCUAAUGAAUAAUGCAUAUGAUCACGAUAGGCAGGGCGUGCACUUUUGGGACUAUUCCAUUGGUUCCAUUAGGCUGGGCAAGCAAUAAGCAAGCGCACCGAAAGUACUUGAAUGAACGCCAAUAUUAUUUUGACCCAGAUCUGAGCAACAGCCCAGCAAACUGAACAUGUUAGGUAACGUCCCAACUUGUCCCCCUCCACAACACAUCUAAUUUUAUUUUAUUUAUGCUAAACACAUUGUGACAUUUAGGACCUUCAUCAGACAGAACAUCAGAUAUUGUUUAUGCCUACAUGGAGUAGUUACACAUUUUAGGGAUGCCUCUCUUACACAGUUGUUUGUGCACAAACCUCCUUUCAGUUCUGUGCUUCCCCCAGAGGCUAGGCUGGCCUGCUAUAAAGCUGACGUUCUGUCACAGCUCGCGGAACCCUGCAUACUCCGAGGUGGUACGCAGGCCGCUGGAGAAGGACGGUGUGGUGGCCAUCGACCCCAAACAAGCGUUCAUCAUCUCUGACUGAGACCUCAGGGAGAGCUUUAUAGACGACAAGGACAGUUUCAUUGACCCCGACCAGAGAAUACGCUUCGUGUCAGACCAGUGCUGACUGGAACUAACCGGACCUGACCAUUCAGGGGGCUUUGGGGAGGAACUAGUAUUUUUAUACUGUGGAAGGAGAAUGUAUGCUUCCGCUACCUCGCAGUCCAACCAAGGUGUAAGAAACUGGUACUUUCUGGUACUUUCUACGGUGGAAAUGCAAUUGUAUGCUAUUGCUACCUCGCAGUCUAGUGAAGGUGCGUGAAUAGAGGAACAGACAGAGAUUGUGAGACCAAAUUCAGACACUUGGAGGACAAAUUGAAGUUUGAAGAAAAAAAAACGCUUUGGCCUUCUUCAGUUCUUCCGUGGAAGAACUGUGUUGAGGAAUUUAUUCAAUUACCUUUUAUUCAGCAUAUGACAACCUCCAGGUUGAUUUAAAAGCAAUGACCGAUAUAAGCUAAGAAUGUCAUCAGCAUGAUGACCAGGUUUUGUUUUCCUGGUGGACUACACUACGGCAGCCUACUGGAGAUGGAAAUGGCGGUGCCACAGGAGAGAGUCUCAUGCCUAUGCAGAGUUGACUGAACUCAACAGUGACAGAAAAAGCUGGAACAAUGUACUAAUGAUUCUCUACUGUAAAUAUGCUUUACCCAUUGUCAUUUUCAUGACAUUUGUAACAUUUCUAAUUUGUGUGAGAAUGCUGUGUCUGCAGAGGACUGGACACAAAAUCAAUUCAACUGGACAGACGAAUUGACCUAUUCCUCUCAGGUCAUUAAGUGAUGUUUACUAUAAUGCAUACCUUAGUGAAGGGGAUGAAGGUAGGAUGCUGUCGAAUGUCUAUGGAAAACAAAGGCAGGAGCACUGCUUGAGGGAAACAAGUGGAUGUUAAAGGAAACACUCACUGGAACAUAAACUGUUGAAUGUUUGUUUCCAUGAAGAUGGAUUUUUAUUUCUCCAGAAGCCCUAUGUGCAGCUCCUCGGCUCCAUCAACACAGGUGGAAUGUCAGACAGUGGUGCCACUUCCUCCUCUCAAAAACCCAAACAAACGUCUUUCCCCAUCUCUUUAACCUGAAAGGUUAGGCAAGCUCUGUGUGUGUAUGAAUCUCAAGAUUGAUUACUUCAAAGGCUUUAGUUCAUGACUUUGUUCCCACACUUGUAAUAGUGGAAGACAAGUAGCUAGCCUUCACAUUGAAAUGUCUGUCUGUAGGAGCACAAUGAUAAGCCAUAAGUAAUUGAAU